rnacentral:rRNA from 1 species
UACCAGCACCCCGAGUGGUCGGGACGUUUAUUGGGCCUAAAGCAUCCGUAGCCGGUUCUACAAGUCUUCCGUUAAAUCCACCUGCUCAACAGAUGGGCUGCGGAAGAUACUAUAGGGCUAGGAGGCGGGAGAGGCAAGCGGUACUCAGUGGGUAGGGGUAAAAUCCUCUGAUCCAUUGAAGACCACCAGUGGCGAAGGCGGCUUGCCAGAACGCGCUCGACGGUGAGGGAUGAAAGCUGGGGGGAGCAAACCGG